rnacentral:rRNA from 1 species
AAAAACAUAGCUUCCAGAAAUCAUAAGAAGUAUUACCUGCCCAGUGUUAAUUUAAUAAACGGCCGCGAAGAGUGCUAAGGUAGCGUAAUAAUUUGUCUUUUCAUUGAAGACUAGUAUGAAUGGAAUAACGAAGUUUUUCUGUCUCCUUACUUUUUUUAAAAAUUAUUAGAAAAGUGAAGAAACUUUUAUUUUUAUGUAGGACGAGAAGACCCUAUAGAGUUUUAGUAAAUUUUUUAUUUUAAAAUAUUAAAAUUACUUUUAUUGGGGCAAUAAUAGAACAAAUUAAAAUCUAUAAAAAAUAUAUACCUCAAAGAGAAUAAAAAAUAAACUACCUUAGGGAUAACAGCGUAAUCUUUCCAAAGAGAUCUAAUCGAAGGAAAGGUUUGCGACCUCGAUGUUGGACUAAGAAUACUUUUAUAUGCAGAAGUAUAAAUUGUAAGCCUGUUCGGCUUUUAAAAUCUUACAUGAUCUG